rnacentral:rRNA from 3 species
AAAAUUUUCAACGGUGGAUGUCUUGGCUCUCAUAUCGAUGAAGAACGCAGCAAAGUGCGAUAAGCAAUGCGAAUUGCAGGCCGUGAGUCAUUAGAAUUUCGAAAGCAACUUGCGCCUCCGCCUGGCGAGAGGCAUGUUUGCUUCAGUG